GGGGGUGCCUGGUGUGCCUUUGGGAACUGUAAGACAGGUGCUGCAUGGCUGUUGUCAGCUCGUGUUGUGAAAUGUUGGGUUAAGUCCCGCAACGAGCGCAACCCUUAUCCUUGUUUGCCAGCACUUCGGGUGGGAACUCCAGGGAGACUGCCGGUGAUAAACCGGAGGAAGGUGGGGACGACGUCAAGUCAUCAUGGCCCUUACGAGUAGGGCUACACACGUGCUACAAUGGCGCAUACAGAGGGCGGCCAACUUGCGAAAGUGAGCGAAUCCCAAAAAGUGCGUCGUAGUCCGGAUUGGAGUCUGCAACUCGACUCCAUGAAGUCGGAAUCGCUAGUAAUCGUGGAUCAGAAUGCCACGGUGAAUACGUUCCCGGGCCUUGUACACACCGCCCGUCACACCAUGGGAGUGGGCUGCAAAAGAAGUGGGUAGUUUAACCUUCGGGAGGACGCUCACCACUUUGUGGUUCAUGACUGGGGUGAAGUCGUAACAAGGUAACCG
rnacentral:rRNA from 1 species